rnacentral:lncRNA from 1 species
AAGAUAAUUAUGUCAUUGAAAAUAAGUUUAUAAGAUCGUUUCACUCAAAGGUAACAUUAAAGUGAAUGCUUUAAUAUCGUUUUUCAUCUACAGUUAUUACCUUGAAUGAAAUAAAUAAAUAACACAAUUUAGAGUGGCUCUAAUUAAAGAAAGAUUGAAACGCCUUUACCUUCAAACGAUACGAUACAUUUUAAAUUGUGGCUUCUUUUCCGUAUAUAUACACACUUCAUAUAUUCAUGCUCAGAAGUCUCGUGAAGAAGCCCACAUGCGAUUGUUUUUUCUUGCUACCAAGUAACAACAAAGCUAUAACCAAAACCAUAAUAAUAAUUUACAUUCACCAUUCACAUUUCACGUCUUUCUCGUUCACACUACACUUUAAUUAACUCAACUCAACUCAACAAUAAUUCUGAAAUUGGAAGAAAAAAAGUAAUAAUAAUCAAAUCAAACGGUCACAAAUUGAUCGAUCAAUUCAAGGCAUUCCUUUUUGUGCGUAACCAUUAACAAGUGCCAAAGCAUUACUCGUCAACUUUUUCACCUUUGAGACACGAUUCUGUACAUCCGCUUUCACCGGACAAUCUUCUACAUCUUGAAAUCCAUCCGUACAUGUUUCUUCAUCAGUAAGCGCCGCACUCAUCCACGUCUGCACGUUACUCAUCUGAAACAGAAACGAAUCUGCUCCGGCACCGGCGCCAGUUCCGGCGGCUCCAAUCUGCCGCAUCUGUUUAAGCGAACCACGGAUUUCAUCAACAGCAUCGUCAAGAUUUGAGAAACAGUCAUGGAGAGCGAGUGCGGCGCGUGAACUACCGCUGUAAUCUGCUUCGCGAGUGAGAUUGGAGAGAUAAGAGGCAGUUCGGUGGACUUUGGAGAAGCUUACGGCUAUGGCGAUGCGAGCGAGUUGGCCAGGAUUCUGUUGAACUGCAUUGGCGUAACGAGAGAGGGAAGUGUAGCAUAUGUCAGGGUAGAGUGUUGCGUUGCAACUUGAACGGAUGAAUUCGGCGUCGUCGUCGGCGGUUGUUGAACGGAGAUUGGAGAAUGUGGUGGCGAAGAAGAGGAUUGAUAAUAGGAGGAAACUGUGAGAGCAUUGGGUUGUCAUUGAUGCUAACUGUUUUUCUUUUGUUUUUUAUUUUUUGUGCUGAGUGUUUGUUUCUUUGCGUUUGUGACUGUGUAGUGUAGAGGGAGAACGAAAUGGUGCGGGUUUUUGUAGGCAAUGAUUUUUGGUAAAUUACUUCAUGGUCGCUAGAUUUUGGUUUAAUAUCCACAAUGCCAUUAUAUUUAUUUUUAUUUUUAUUGUUUUUUACAAUAACUUAUAUUUCUUUUCUUUUGUUUGUCAAAUAAUAUACCAAACACAUCUUAUGCAUAUCAAGAUCCUUAUUAAAAAAUGUCGGAAUUGUUGGCUCAUAUGUGGUAAUUGAGGAUUAAACCUCAGCUCUUUCAUGCAUGUGUGAAUAUUCGAUGACUAUUAUUCGUCUAACUAAAAAAGUAUUUAGUUUAACUUUGGUUUUUCGAUUUUAUUCAACGUGCAGCAAAAAAGAACUAUAUAUAAUAUAUGAUGGAUUUAAUUGUUAUUAAAUGUUUGUUUGGAUCGACUAUAUGUUUUGCAAAAUUGCAAUAGUUUUUUAGUGUAGUUUUUUCAAAAUUGAGGUAGCUCUUUCAGUGUCAAUAAGAACAGGUACUAUAGUAUAAAACUUUUAAAGAAUUUCGUUCAUGAUUUUUAUAUGGUAUUAAAUGUAUAUUGUGGAUUUUACUAAAGAAAUUAUUUGAGAUUUCUAAGCAUGCUUUAAGGAUGAAUAACCAUUUUGUAUGUGUUUAAUAAACUUUGACAAAGAGGAUAGUCAACGAGUGUGUGAUUAGAAUUUCAAUUUGUGGAUUAGAUUAAAUUGUUGGAUCAAUGGGAAUUCAAACACACUUAUUUGCAUGGAAAAUAUUGAAACUAAUUUGAUAUCUUUAUUGCUCCCUCUGAUCAUUUUUAAUUGUUGUUAUUUUACAUUUUAUACACGCAAAGACAACCAAUAAAUCAUAUUUUUUUAAACAAUUAUGUCUUUUUUUUAAUAAUCAUAAUAAUUUAAUAUCACACUUUCAAAACAACAAAUAUAUUAUAUUAUUUAAUUGCAAAUACUACAAUUAAAAACGCACAAAAAAAAGUUUGACAAAAAAAAAAACAAGGUGAGGGAAUACUACUACUCCCUCCGUUUCUAAAUAUAAGCAAAUUUUACUUUUUAGAUUCAUUCAAUUAAUGAUGUAUGUGGUUCAUAAUAUGGAUUACAUACAUCAUUAAUUGAAUGAACCUAAAAAGUAAAAUUUACUUAUAUUUAAAAACGGAAGGAGUAUUCUUUUGUAUGGUUAGUUAAUAUUUUUGACGAAAAACAGUUUCUUUUUACACCACUUGUUAAUGUUUGAAAAAGUCUAUAAAUUCAUCGUAUUUUUUAAGAUUAGGAUUGUAACGUACGAUUAGUAAAAGAGACGUAUUAAAAUAACCAUUGUACGGAUGGAUGCAUGUGGACAACAAGAAAUAGGGGUGGAAAAUAACAGUCGACCCGACCCAAACCCGAUAAAACCGUUGCAAAAAUGGAAGUUUGGGUGGGUAACGGGUCGGGUUACGGGUUGGGCGGAUUGAAUGAAUGGUUUCAUAUGGGUUUAGAUGGGCGGGCUCGGAUUGAAUUUUCAGGCCCAUCGAAGCCCAAAUCCGACCGAACCCAGCAUCUAUUAUUUUUAAUCUUAUUUGUAACCCUCAGGCCCUGAUUUUGUUAUGUUAUUGGACAUUUUUCUUGGAUCAAAUUUAAGCCCAAAUCAUUAAGUCCGUUGACAACAAACUAGGGUUAUAUAUCAAAACACACUCAUUCUUAUCCAUUUCAUUGAGAGAAAGAGAGAGUACAGAGUAGAGAGAACAGAGUUCGUAAAGUUAAGGGAAACCCUAGUUUCCUUGCGCCGCCUCCGUUAACCACUUCCUCUCUCUCUCUCUCUCUCUCUCUAUCUCUCUCUCUCUCUCGAUCGCUUUCAUUUUGAAACCCAAAGAAGAUGUCUGUUUCAAAGCUGUGUAAGUGUUCAUCUUUCGUUUUCUUCCUCUCUCUCAAUCGCUACUGGUUUUUGUUAUCAUAGAUUAUUUAACCAAGUUUUCUUUUAAAUUUUGUGUGUAUGUUCAUUUUCUCUUUUUGUUAAUUAGGUUGCUGUUAUGGAUUUGGAAACUGGAGCUAGAGCUACUUGUAAGUUUAAAAAUAUUGAUUGUAAGAAUUAAUUGUGGUUUUUGUAUAGUUUUAUGUAUAGUUUUCUCAUUUUCUUAUACGUACUCUUAUUAUCAUGGUGAAUAUGAUCAUGGUGCAGCUGCUGUUGUUGAAACUGAAGCAGUUGCUGCCCACUUUCCAAAUGAUGCUUGUAGGAAGGCAAUAUUGCUAGACUUGUUAUCCUAUCUAAGCUGCCCUUUAGUGUAGUUGAGUCUGACAGAUUCAACCGCUUAUGUAAGCUUUUGCAACCCCUAUGGAAUAUCCCAUCUAGAAGGACCGUGGCUAGGGAUUGUUUUAGGAUGUUUCGAGAUGAAAAAUUUAAGCUUAUAGCUUAUUUUAAAUCUGACUGUAGUAAGCUAGCACUUACUCCCAAAGUAUGGACUUCUAUUCAAAACUUUAGCUACAUUUCCUUAACCGCCCCACUUUAUUGAUAAUGAAUUGAAAUACCAAAAAAGGCUCCUUAGCUUUACUUUGGUUCCAAACCACACAAGUAACACAAUAGGUCAGACAGUUGAAGAGUCAUUGAGGGAUUGGGGUCUUAAGAAUGCAUCUGCAGAACCAUUGACAAUUCAUCCUCCAAUGAUGUGGCUGCGAUGGUUAGAGAUAUUUUGGCCAUUCCAACUACAAUAUCUUUAGAUAGCAUUUUCAGCAAGAGACUUAGGAUGUUAGACGGUUAUAGAAGUUCCUUGAGUCCGAGAGUUGCAUAAGCUUUGAUAUGCUCACGAAACUGGUUGAAGCCAACAGACGAGUUUGAGGUCAAUGAGGGUGUUGUUCCAUGUGCCUUAAAUAUCUUUUUCUAUCAUUUUUUAUUUAAUAUUUCUGCUGAUUGAUAUAUUAAUUUUUUUUAUUUGAUAACAGAAGUUAAUCAAGGAAUGACCAUUUGGUGUUGGGAAGCAGUUGCAGGUGGAGCACCACCAGCAACUGUGCUGUCUGUCUGAUUGCUUUUAUGGUACAGAUUUGAAUAAUUUAUUUGGAUAUCUCAUUUUGUCUAAGUAUUUUAAUAUACUGAUUUAGUUUUAUUUAAUUUGCAUUCAACAAUCAUGUUUUUUGGAGUCACAUAUGACUCAAACUGCACAACACAACAUAUAUGUUUGAAGACAUUUUGAAAUGUAGAUGUUUGCUUGCUUGGCUCCAUGGUCUCUCACAUUUUUGCUGUAUUGAUAGCCUAUACACUGCUGUUUAAACGAUGUUUAAUGCUUAUGCUAAGGUAUGUUAGGCUUAGUAAGUGUUGCUUGAUAAUGCUUGUAGUUAUCAUGGUUUUAAAUCCCUUAAUGUUUGUUUUAUUCUUCUUUUUUCAAGUCAUUGAUGCAGUUAUAAAUCUAGAGGUCAGCUCUAGUGACAGUAAUGUAGGAGAGUUCACAAUUUUUAUCCCAAACUGUUGCACAAAGGUACAAUAAUGUAGGAUGCAUAAUGAUUUUAUUGUGAUGAUUUUACUGUGAUGAAAUGUGUUGGUAACACAUUGCUUUUGAUUUCCAUUAUUCAAGCAGAUUAUUGAUGUUAAUUUGGGUGUGGCUACUCUUGUACUUGGCUGAAAUAUUUGUGUGACCAUGUUGCAGCAUUAGCAACUGCAAGCAUCUCCUGCCAAUGUAUAUGUAGAAUUAUAGAUGAUUGUAAUUAUGGCAUUGUAAAGUUUAAGUUGCUGGUUGUGUUGUGCAGUCUUAUCAACUCUAAACAACUUGAAGUAUUGCACAAUCGUACUUUUAUUUAUUCGAAAUCUGUAAUAUUAUGAUACAGGGAUACCGGAUACCUAUCACAUGGAUGAUGAAUUAUCAUGAAUGAUGUAGUUGGGCUUCUUUAAACCAACUCAAUUCAUGUUUAUUUCCUAUUACAGGGCUCAAUCAUGAAUGAUCAAAUGAUGUAAUUAGGUUUUUUUUAAGCCAACUUAACUCUUGUAUGAUUUGGCUAGAAAAUAUGCUUAUUUGUAUGUCAUUGGCAACUUAGAUUUACAGGGGAUAGAAUCUUGAACUUGUUCAAUUUGAAAAUUUUAUAGUUAAAAAUAUUUGAAAACAGUGAUGGGCCAAAAAUCCAUAACCGGCCCAAUGUUGGCCCCAUCCGACAUAACCCGCCCAUAACAUCCGUUGAAACCAAUUAACCGAGACCCGCCAUAACCGUCGCUUCAUUUGGGUGAAAUUAGGCCUUGAAUUCUCAACUGUGGAUUGUUUCGGAUUGAACUUUUUGAGCCCGAACCCACCCAUAACCGACCGAUGUCCACCCCUAGCAAGAAAGUAAGGGUCGAGUGUUGUUUUAUUUGACGUGUAACAAUAGCAAGUUAAGAAUGGGGAAAUACUUGAAUGACUUUGCAUUUUGGUGAUUUUGGUGACUUUAGUGUGUUUUAGAUGAGAGAUAAUGAUAGAUGAAUGAUUAAAAUAAAUUAUUUUGAUGAGAGAGAAUUAUUGGUUAAGAGAGAUAGGGAUAACACUUGCAUGACAUAAGAGUUGAUGACAUUGGUGACAUUGAUCAAUCACAAAUUUCAUCUCCUAAUGUUUUGGUAACUAAUGCUUUGGUAUUUUUUUCUUUUUUUAGAGGGCUUUGGUAAUAUGUUGUUGGCAUGUAAUAGGUUGAUUACACCAGUCAUGGAUGAAGCUUCUUUUUCUUUUUUCUUUUGCAAAAAUGUUGACCAUUACUAGGAAGCCACCUAGAAUUCCACUAAAAUAAUGGUUAAGAUAGUGAAGACAAAGAAUGUAGAUGAAGUAAUAUAUUUUUUGUUAGUGGCGGAGUUAGGAAUAAAUUUGGAGGUGGGCCAAGUUUAAUGUGUGUGUAUAUAUAUAUAUAUUGAAGGAAUAUAUUUUUUAUUAGUUAAUUCGAGGGACCAAUAAUAUUUUAUCUAUAAAACAUAAUUUAAACUGGGUUUUAAAGAUAUUUUAGCAUAAAUAUUAUAUAAUUUUUAUUAUAUUACACCAUAUUUUAAAUUUAAAAAAGAAUUGUACAUUAGUUGGUGAACUAUUUAUAAUAUUAGAUUAGAUAAAAAUAAAAUAAAAUAAAGUAUGUUGAACAGAAAGGUUGUUGCUUUAGUGGGUGUUGGGAUUUUAGAAAGACUAUGGGUGCACCGGUUCAAUUCUCUUUGGAGAAUUUAUUGAAUGAUUUAAUUUUUUUAAAGAAGGAACCAGAAUUAUAAUAAAGAAAAAGAAUAACAUGGGUUCGAACACGCGACACAAAAGGCAUCAUAAUCACAUAUUUAACCACGAGAACAAAGUAAUAAAUUGUAAAAACUUGCGAGACACAUGUAUAUAUAAUAUAACUUCAUAUUAGAAUAUUUGCAUAUAUAUUUCAUAAAAAUUAAUUUUUUUAGGGUUGAGGUGAAUCAUGGCCCAUCCUGACCCAUGAGUCGCUCUGCCACUGUUUUUUUUUGUAAACAUUGGAUACUUUAAGUUCAUUUUAAAAUAUAUUCAUUUUUUUUUGAAGGAAAAGUUCAUUUUAAAAUAUAUUCAUAUGUAGUUCGCAUUUACGUAAUUAAUUAAAUGUAAAGCUAGGUAGUAGUAGUAGUAUAAUUCUUUAANAUAAAUUAAAUCUAGGGUUAAUAUAAUUUGUUUAGUAAAAUUAAGGAGAAAAAUUAGGAGCGAUUUAUUAUUUUGAUUUCCCUAACAAUUAACGUUAACAUUUUGAUUAAAUUAAAUAGGGUUAAUACAGUAAAAUUAAGCAAAUAAGUUAGGUUAAAUCUAGGGAAAAAUUUUGCUUUCGGGUUAACUUUAAGGAAUAAGAGAUUGCAAUAGUUAUUAUGUUAUUUUUUAUGUAGUGCUUUAGACUCUGUGUUGCAAAUUUUUGGUUUACGCAGCUUUGAUUUUCACAUUUAUAAAUGACAACAAUUUUCUGUAAUUUAUAAGAUUUCUCCUUCAAAAUUAAAUUUAAAAAAAAUACGUUAUUUUUGCACGGGUUUGUAACUAGUUAUGAAAAGGAAAAUUUGAGUGGGCUCCUCCUAAUGAUACGAAAUAGGACACAAAUUAAAACAACUUGAAAUCAAAUUAAAGUAAAGUUAAGAUAAUUAUGUCAUUGAAAAUAAGUUUAUAAGAUCGUUUCACACAAAGGUAACAUUAAAGUGAAUGCUUUAUCAUCGUUUUUCAUCUACAGUUAUUACCGUGAAUGAAAUAAAUAACACAAUUUAGAGUGGCUCUAAUUAAAGAAAGAUUGAAAUAACCACAAGAAUUUAAUAAAAACUCUCUGAAACGCCUUUACCUUCAAACGAUACGAUACAUUUUAAAUUGUGGCUUCUUUUCCGUAUAUAUACACACUUCAUUCAUGCUCACAAGUCUCGUGAAGAAGCCACAUGCGAUUGUUUUUUCUUGCUACCAAGUAACAACAAAGCUAUAACCAAAAACCAUAAUAAUAAUAAUAAUUUACAUUCACCAUUCACAUUUCACGUCUUUCUCGUUCACACUACUGUCA